rnacentral:rRNA from 1 species
GAUGAACGCUGGCGGCGUGCCUAAUACAUGCAAGUCGAGCGAACGGACGAGAAGCUUUCUUCUCUGAUGUUAGCGGCGGACGGGUGAGUAACACGUGGAUAACCUACCUAUAAGACUGGGAUAACUUCGGGAAACCGGAGCUAAUACCGGAUAAUAUUUUGAACCGCAUGGUUCAAAAGUGAAAGACGGUCUUGCUGUCACUUAUAGAUGGAUCCGCGCUGCAUUAGCUAGUUGGUAAGGUAACGGCUUACCAAGGCAACGAUGCAUAGCCGACCUGAGAGGGUGAUCGGCCACACUGGAACUGAGACACGGUCCAGACUCCUACGGGAGGCAGCAGUAGGGAAUCUUCCGCAAUGGGCGAAAGCCUGACGGAGCAACGCCGCGUGAGUGAUGAAGGUCUUCGGAUCGUAAAACUCUGUUAUUAGGGAAGAACAUAUGUGUAAGUAACUGUGCACAUCUUGACGGUACCUAAUCAGAAAGCCACGGCUAACUACGUG